rnacentral:misc_RNA from 1 species
AUAUCCCUAUCCCAUACUGGA